rnacentral:lncRNA from 1 species
GAGCCGCCGGCCAGGAGCCCCGCGGAGGAGGAUGUGCCCGGGCCGGAGGCGCAGUCCCCUGCUCCCGUUUUGUUUUCCCUAACUGCACAGCGAGACCUUCAGGGCACGGGCUGUUUCUGACCGCGUGUUUGCACAAAGCCUCCUAUAAUGGGGCUGGGACGUGCCGACCCAGGAACGGGGAAUCCGACCUUGGAAGAGGGAACUAACCGGUUUGGGCGAUGCCGGGGAGCAGCCCAGCAAGCCACGGCCCGGGUAUUUUGCGUUUGGACCUGGGCAUUGCGGCAACAUGGUGGCAGCUCUGGUGAUGCCCCAAAGCGGUUUAAGAACUGGAAACGGAGAGCAGCACCUGGGGACCUUGCUCGAAUUAUGUGACGUGAUGCGGCUGCGGGACCCAGCGCCUGCGAAGGCUGCGCGCCGCGAUUAAAAGCAAGCAGCAGCUCGCCGGGAGCCGGGAGAGGUGCAGGGGAGCGGCGCGGCUUUGCGGGGACGGGAGCCGGCGCGGCGCUUCGCUUCGCAGCUCCUCGCGCGCUGGCGGGCCUGGUAAGCCGCAGACGGCAGGGGAAACCGUGCCCGGCCGCGCUCCUCUUCGCA